UACGUAGGGGGCAAGCGUUGUUCGGAAUUACUGGGCGUAAAGGGCGCGUAGGCGGCUGCGUAAGUCGGGAGUGAAAGCCCGGGGCUCAACCCCGGAAUGUCUCUCGAAACUGCGCGGCUCGAGUGCGGAAGAGGCAACUGGAAUUCCCAGUGUAGCGGUGAAAUGCGUAGAUAUUGGGAAGAACACCUGAGGCGAAGGCGGGUUGCUGGGCCGACACUGACGCUGAGGCGCGAAAGCCAGGGGAGCGAACGGG
rnacentral:rRNA from 1 species